AUUGAACGCUGGCGGCAUGCCUAACACAUGCAAGUCGAGCGGAUGAAGGGAGCUUGCUCCUGGAUUCAGCGGCGGACGGGUGAGUAAUGCCUAUGAAUCUGCCUGGUAGUGGGGGAUAACGUCCGGAAACGGGCGCUAAUACCGCAUACGUCCUGAGGGAGAAAGUGGGGGAUCUUAGGACCUCACGCGAUCAGAUGAGCCUAGGUCGGAUUAGCUAGUUGGUGGGGUAAAGGCCUACCAAGGCGACGAUCCGUAACUGGUCUGAGAGGAUGAUCAGUCACACUGGAACUGAGACACGGUCCAGACUCCUACGGGAGGCAGCAGUGGGGAAUAUUGGACAAUGGGCGAAAGCCUGAUCCAGCCAUGCCGCGUGUGUGAAGAAGGUCUUCGGAUUGUAAAGCACUUUAAGUUGGGAGGAAGGGCAGUAAGUUAAUACCUUGCUGUUUUGACGUUACCAACAGAAUAAGCACCGGCUAACUUCGUG
rnacentral:rRNA from 1 species